GCUUCGGUCAGAAUAUAUCCGCUGCCCUCCGAAGGCAGAGGUCACAGGUUCGAAUCCUGUCGGGUGCGCCA
rnacentral:tRNA from 1 species